AACCAUAGAAACCUGCGGAGUACCUGCGGAAGGAUCAUUAAAGAUUGACCGAAAGGUCUUAUCUCUAUAUCCCUCACCUCUGUGAACUGUGGACCUCCGGGUCUAUUUAACAAACAUCAGUGUAAUGAACGUAUAUAUCAUUAAACAAAACAAAACUUUUAACAACGGAUCU
rnacentral:misc_RNA from 1 species